GAUGACAAUGAUGGAGUGCAAUGGUGCAAUCUCGGCUCACUGCAACUUCUGCCUCCCAAGUUCAAGUGAUUCUCCUGCCUCAGCCUCCCGAGUAGCUGGAAUUACAGAUUUGUGGCAGAUUGAAGACGGCCACACAUUCUCUGACACUCCUUCUAUAGAGAGGUGAAGACUCUGUCCCUUCAUUUGAAAUCUGGAUCAGCUUCAUAACUGCCUUGUCUGAUGAGGCAUGUUGGAAGAGACACCAAGACAGCUUCUGGGCUCGGGUCUAAAGAAAUUCAUAGCCUCUACUGCUACUCUCUUGAAAUAGUCUCUGUGAGUAUCCUGGUCUGACAUAUACCCUACUCUGCUAUGUAAGAAAUUUGACCAUCUUGGGACACCUGUGCUGAAAAAGC
rnacentral:lncRNA from 1 species